UGGAACAUGUAAAAUGGCUGGAUUAUGGACUAAGUUAGGAAGAUAUUUAAAGCAGGUGUAUCAAGAACCUUUCUUCAGUCCAAGCCUCUUCCAAAAUUCCCAGGAUAAGAACUGUUCUGUUUGCAUCAGGUACCUACACCAGCACUAAUCAACUGUAGAGAUAAAGCCAUGUCACAAGGAAGGAAAAAGGCAGUACAUUCAAGCUAACAGAAUGGGGAAAAGGGACAUCCCAGAAAAUGGGUCCCAUCCACAUGGCUGCUACCAGGGAAGGUCAAGAAUGUCUUCUCCUGUGAAUGGAUAAAAAAGCCGUGGUAUAUAU